rnacentral:tRNA from 1 species
GCCUGGGUGCCCGAGCCGGACCGCGAGAGCCUGGCCUCGCGGGCCAGGGUGGCGCUGGCGUUCGCCGACACCGCGCUGGUGC